rnacentral:rRNA from 1 species
UACGUAGGGGGCAAGCGUUGUCCGGAAUCAUUGGGCGUAAAGAGCGCGUAGGCGGCCCUGUAAGUCCGCUGUGAAAGUCAAGGGCUCAACCCUUGAAUGCCGGUGGAUACUGCAGGGCUAGAGUUCGGCAGGGGAGACUGGAAUUCCUGGUGUAGCGGUGAAAUGCGCAGAUAUCAGGAGGAACACCGGUGGCGAAGGCGGGUCUCUGGGCCGAUACUGACGCUGAGGAGCGAAAGCGUGGGGAGCGAACAGG